UCUUUGAAAGCAUUCUCUCUCAUCUUCAUCACCAAAAAUUUUAUAGAGGAGAAAACUAUUGGAAAAAAAAAAAUACCAAAAUAUCUCACAGAUCUGAAAAUCAACAAUACCAUUACUAACAAUUUCUGAGAUAUAUCAUUAUCAUCUCAUUCCCAAAAAUUUCCAAUCUUGUUAUUCCCCUUUGUUCCCUUCUCUCGUCUUUAUUCUUCUAACUUGCCUCUUUUUAUUUCUCUAGAAGUUUUCCUUGCUAGACUUGUUCAACCAAAGAAAUAAACAGCAGAUCCGUAUUGGAGAAACUUAAACGAGAUAAGAGUAACCGAACUUCAUGAGGCAGUGAAAUCGCAUUCGAAGAAGGUUAUUGUUGUGAAGAAAGGGGCAGCUUAAGCUCUAUGUUGGACAACCAUUUUCUGAGGAGGAGAUGGCUUUGUACUCUUUGCUGGAACAAAAUUAAAGCGCCUAAAUAAAUCAGCAAGCAGAGAAGACAUACGAACCAGACGUGGUUUCUUUUAUGAGUUUACCUAACAAUGGAAGCCACUGUCAAUCUGCAGGCUUAUUCUUAUUAGAAGUUCCCUUUCGGAGUUGGUGACUCUGCAUGACAAUGAGAAGUUACCGGUGGAGUUAAGGAAUUUGCAUGCUUAUGUGAAGUUAGUGGGUGGAGUUGAAGGACUUUGCAUGCCACUGGUCUUCUAAAUAUAUGAAUCCACUGUUACCAGGAAAUUACACUGGCCAUUCAAACCAGAAAUUCCCAGCAUGGCUUGCUGUUCCUCACCAUCAGCUGUUCUCAUAAUCUGAGCCAAAAAGAUGAUACUUUUUCUAUGGUUUGCGAGUGACAGUUUUGUCUGCUAAUGGAAGUUUAAAAGAUACAACCACUCAAUUUUGUGCAGGGAAAGACUUGAUUCAAGUAGGAACUAAAUCGGUGUAAACGAUUAUUUUUCUUCUCAUUUGAAGGAUUCAGUACUCCUGUACUACUUGCUCGAUAAGCAUUCACUUUGAUUCUUGCUUUUUUUCCCUGUCAACGCAAACAAUUUGUUCGGCGAGAAUUUUUGCACCAGUUGUGACACAUCAAGGUUAUGCUGAUGGCUGAAGCCUGAAAGAUACA